UAGCUCAGUGGUAGAGUGCCUGCUUAGCAAGCACGAGGUCCUGGUUUCAAUCCCCAG
rnacentral:tRNA from 1 species